rnacentral:misc_RNA from 1 species
AGGUGAACCUGCGGAAGGAUCAUUACCGAGUGAGGGUCUCUCAGGCCCGACCUCCCACCCUGUGUUUUCGUGACCUUGUUGCUUUGGCGGGCCCGCCUCGACGAGAGGCCGCCGGAAGCUCACCGCUUUGGGCCCGUGCCCGCCAGUAGCCCCCUUAAAUUCUUAAUAAACCUGUCGUCUGAGUCCAUGGAUAUAAUGAAAAAAACUUUCAACAACGGAUCUCUUGGUUCUGG